AUUAAACGCUGGCGGCAUGCUUUACACAUGCAAGUCGAACGGUAACAGGCCGCAAGGUGCUGACGAGUGGCGAACGGGUGAGUAAUGCAUCGGAACGUGCCCAGUCGUUGGGGAUAACUACUCGAAAGAGUAGCUAAUACCUCAUACGAUCUAUGGAUGAAAGCGGGGGACCGUAAGGCCUCGCGCGAUUUGAGCGGCCGAUGUCAGAUUAGGUAGUUGGUGGGGUAAAGGCUCACCAAGCCAACGAUCUGUAGCUGGUCUGAGAGGACGACCCGCCACACUGGAACUGAGACACGGCCCAGACUCCUACGGGAGGCAGCAGUGGGGAAUUUUGGACAAUGGGCGCAAGCCUGAUCCAGCAAUGCCACGUGAAGGAAGAAGGCCUUCGGGUUGUAAACUGCUUUUGUACGGAACGAAACGGCUCUGGUUAAUACCCGGGGCUAAUGACGGUACCGGAAGAAUAAGCACCGGCUAACUACGUG
rnacentral:rRNA from 1 species